AUGGCAGUGUCUAGAUCGAGUGUUCAUGGAGAAAACCAUGGGGAAGAAGAUGCCCUGGUCACAUGUGCCGAGCUGCAGCGACUCGAGAACAACUUACUCCAAGCCAUGGAAAGGAUGCUUCACGAGCAUCCUCUAGCAGGUGGUGAUAGGGUUCGACACCGACAACACCCUAUUGAUCCACUUGAGGAAGUUGGCGAUGAGAAUUCUGUGCAUGCUGCUGUUGACGGUGACUUGGAGGAUGAUAACAACAGCCAUGGUGGACAUGUGGCUGCUGCUCGUGGGCGUGGUACUGCUGCUCAUGGAGCGCAGCGAGGAUGA
rnacentral:rRNA from 1 species